rnacentral:rRNA from 1 species
CUACGGAGGAUGCGAGCGUUAUCCGGAUUUAUUGGGUUUAAAGGGAGCGUAGGUGGGAUAUUAAGUCAGCUGUGAAAGUUUGGGGCUCAACCUUAAAAUUGCAGUUGAUACUGGUUUCCUUGAGUACGGUACAGGUGGGCGGAAUUCGUGGUGUAGCGGUGAAAUGCUUAGAUAUCACGAAGAACUCCGAUCGCGAAGGCAGCUCACCGGGCCGGAACUGACACUGAUGCUCGAAAGUGCGGGUAUCAAACAGGAUUAGAUACCCUGGUAGUCCGCACAGUAAACGAUGAAUACUCGCUGUUUGCGAUACACUGUAAGCGGCCAAGCGAAAGCGUUAAGUAUUUCACCUGGGGAGUACGCCGGCAACGGUGAAACUCAAAGGAAUUGACGGGG